rnacentral:rRNA from 1 species
AUUGAACGCUGGCGGCAGGCCUAACACAUGCAAGUCGAGCGGAGCGGCGGACGGGUGAGUAAUGCCUAGGAAUCUGCCUGGUAGUGGGGGAGAACGUCAGGAAACGGGCGCUAAUACAGAAUACUAUCCGAUGAGCCUAGGUCGGAUUAGCUAGUUGGGGGGGUAAAGGCGUACCCAGGCGACGAUCCGUAACUGGUCUGAGAGGAUGAUCAGUCACACUGUGACUGAGACACGGUCCAGACUCCUACGGGAGGCAGCAGUGGGGAAUAUUGGACAAUGGGCGAAAUCCUGAUCAAGCCAUGCCGCGUGUGUGAAGAAGGUCUUCGGAUUGUAAAGUACUUUAAGUUGGGAGGCGUUACCAACAGAAUAAGCACCGGCUAACUUCGUGCCAGCAGCCGCGGUAAUAC